rnacentral:rRNA from 1 species
GCAGUGGGGAAUUUUGGACAAUGGGCGAAAGCCUGAUCCAGCAAUGCCGCGUGAGUGAAGAAGGCCUUCGGGUUGUAAAGCUCUUUUGUCAGGGAAGAAACGGUGAGAGCUAAUAUCUCUUGCUAAUGACGGUACCUGAAGAAUAAGCACCGGCUAACUACGUGCCAGCAGCCGCGGUAAUACGUAGGGUGCAAGCGUUAAUCGGAAUUACUGGGCGUAAAGCGUGCGCAGGCGGUUUUGUAAGUCUGAUGUGAAAUCCCCGGGCUCAACCUGGGAACUGCAUUGGAGACUGCAAGGCUAGAAUCUGGCAGAGGGGGAUGGAAUUCCGCGUGUAGCAGUGAAAUGCGUAGAUAUGCGGAGGAACACCGAUGGCGAAGGCAGCCCCCUGGGUCAAGAUUGACGCUCAUGCACGAAAGCGUGGGGAGCAAACAGGAUUAGAUACCCUGGUAGUCCACGCCCUAAACGAUGUCUACUAGUUGUCGGGUCUUAAUU